rnacentral:rRNA from 1 species
GUUUGAUCCUGGCUCAGAAUGAACGCUUGCGAUAGGCUUAACACAUGCAAGUUGAACGUGUAAAACACGUAGCGAACGGGUGCGUAACAUGUGGGAAUCUACCCAUACAUGAAGGUAAAUCCUUCUUAAAAGAUCCGUGAUCGUGUAUGGAUGAGCCCGCACAAGAUUAGAUAGUUGGUGUGGGAAGGGCGCACCAAGUCGAGGAUCUUUAGCUGAUCUUAGCGGAUGAUCAGCCACACUGGGACUG